ACUCCUACCGGUCUAAAGUUUUGAG
rnacentral:piRNA from 1 species